ACACACACACACACUAGCAAGUGGAGUAAGAGUAGUAUUUUCUAAUCAAAGUUUUAUCUUUCUUAUGUAAAGGCGGGUUCACACGUGCAUAUUUGCGACUAUUUUAUUUAUUUGUUAUUUUUAUUUUCAUUUUUAUUUUAAGUUAGUAGAAUUUCCGAGUCGCAAUCAGCGCCUAGCAAAACUAACAUGUUGGAGGUGAAAACUGAAAACUUGUCAAGAUUUAAUUUGAUCGCAAUGUAGUCUUCCUAAUUAAGAUUAAUAAUUUUCUUAUGAAAAAUAUAGGCUAAUUUAGAGUAUGGUAGACAUUCCUGUCUGUCCUACUUAGCCAGGCACGUAUCCACAGGCAUUUUCUUUUCUGUUUGACUCUUACGGCACGCCAAAGGUAAAGCAACCACAGCUUCAGCAUCGUCACUGGAGGAAGACAUCUUGGCGGGUAGCUGUUUGUUUACAUUUAUUUCCCGGCGCCAAGACGCCAACUAUAUAGUCGAUACUUUCAAGGCGCUACGUCUGACACUUUCCGACUAGAAGGAAUGAGUCGGAAACUCUACGUACGUAAAAUAACAGUCGCAAAUUGGCACGUGUAAACCCGCCUUAAGAAUAUGCUAGGCAACCAUGACCAGGAUUGCAUCAUGAUUCCCUUACCUAGUUACAUACGUUUAUGCAUACCACUAACAGUUGUUUAUCUGAUCUCCGUUAUUUCAGAUAAGAAAUAGCACUGUCAUCUUUUUUUCUUUAUGUUCCUUUCAAUAAAUUAUUGUGGCGCAGGUGAAGGCUCAAUAAAUACACAACCACCACUAACACUGGCAACACAGGAAACAUCUCCCUCCUUGGCAACUGUCUGCACAGAGACCCGACACCACUCAUCGCCCGGGUAAUUUCCUUCCACCGCACGCAGAGAGGCACUGAAGGAUGCGUUGCUGCUGAGACGAGAACGAGACGUGUCCGCGGCGUGUGAUGGGAGGGUGUACACUGUGUGGUGUUUACACUGGAAAGAUGCUGACGAAAGGUGCAACGGCACAGGAGGCGUAGUUUGUGGGGCACUGUGUGGCACCGACGAGGAGUCGAGGACAGAGGACAGGAGGGUAGCGAGAGACCUCGAGGGAACAAGUCGUACUCUGGGGAGCAGUCAGAGAGUGAACGAGAGACGGAGAGAUAAUGAAGUGCCUGACGAACUAACAAAGUGUUACCCGUACUUUGUUGCUGCCCUCUGCCCCGUCCUAUGUGCCGCCGCCACCUGUUCCCGGUGACUCGUGUACAGUUGCUGUAAUAUAGAGAAAUAAGGAA